CAGAGACAGGUACUAGUGAUUCCACUGGGCGCUAUAGGCAGGGCGCACUCACCGAACUCCCCAAUCCCUUCCAGCCUCAGGGCCCGCCUGGCAGGACUACUGAGCAAGGCCUUGGAAAAUCGGAGCGAUUAGAGCGAAGUGCUUCGGUCAGGCAGUAUCUUUGAAAAUAAUUUGGCCAAUGAAAGCCCUGGCAUUGGAUGAAAGUGCUAGCUGCUGGGAAUGCUACCCCUCCUUUUGGUUCUCUUUCAAGUCCUUCAGGUUCAAACAAUACAGAAGUGUAUAAAGUAAGAAUUGAAAGUCUCUUCGCUGCUCUAAUCUCACUCCUCAGAGGUGAUCACUGUGUGGAAGAUGAUCAAAGUAUGACGUUUCUUCUACCCCAGAGGUUGGCAUUUCUGCAGGCACAAAUGAGCUUGGUUUUCAAGCACCAGUCUUUGAGCACAAGGAAUUCCUUUAAUGAUCACGGGCUAGAUAGACUUUGGAAUCAGACUCUUUGAAUUCCAGCUCUGCCAUUUACCAACUUUGACACUUUGGAUAGGGUCUCAUUCUGUCAGCCAGGCUGGAGUGCAGUGGCACUAUUAUAGCUCACUGCAGCCUCAAAUGCCUGGGCUCAGGCAGUCUUCCCACCUCUGCCUCCUGAGUAGUUGGGACUACAGGCAUGUGCCACCAAGCCCAGCCAAUUUUUCAGUUUUAAAUUUUUUGUAGAGAUGGGGGUCUUGCUAUGUCACCCAGGCUGGUCUUGAACACCUGGCCUCAAGUGAUCCUCCGGCCUCGCUCUCUCAAAGCUCUGGGAUUACAGACAUGAGCCACUGCACCUGGCUCUGUCUCCCCUUCCUAUGUGUGUUGGCUCUAGAACAAGAGAAGCCUUGUUGAGAUUCAUGGCUGCCCCUUGCACCCCAUCACCUCUCUGACUUUGGGCAAGUUGCCUGGUCUCUCUCAGCCUUUAUUUUCUUUUUGUGAAAUGGGGAUAAUAAUAGUACUUGCCUCAUAGGCAAAAUGUUGUGAGAACUAAAUGAGAAAAUACAUGUAAAGCUCUUGGCACUUAGGUCUUUUUAUGAUUAUGAUGAUAAUCACACAUAAUAAAUUAUUUCUCACA
rnacentral:lncRNA from 1 species